rnacentral:rRNA from 1 species
CCCUUAGAUGUCCGGGGCCGCACGCGCGCUACACUGAAGGAAUCAGCGUGGCUUUCUCCCUGACCCGAAAGGGUUGGGAAACCCGUUGAAUCUCCUUCGUGAUAGGGAUUGGGGCUUGAAAUUGUUCCCCAUGAACGAGGAAUUCCCAGUAAGCGCGAGUCAUAAGCUCGCGUUGAUUACGUCCCUGCCCUUUGUACACACCGCCCGUCGCUCCUACCGAUUGAACGGUUUAGUGAGGGCCUCGGAUUGGUCUCGGCCCGCUCUUUACCGGGCGGCGCCGUUGGUCGAGAAGACGCUCGAACUUGAUCGUUUAGAGGAAGUAAAAGUCGUAACA